rnacentral:lncRNA from 1 species
AACAGGUUUAGAAGAAGUAUGCAUGUGUUUUAAUUUGCUUAUGGAAACUAUAAGUGUAUGAGAAAGGAAAGAAGGAAAGAAUCAAAACAUUUAUAUUUAUGUUGCGCUGCUGCAUUUCUCCAAGUUGUGUAAGGGAGUACAAAUGUUCUCAUUGGGAGAUAGGAUCCUGCAUCAAGCCCCAUUUCAGCAAGCAGCAGUCAAAAGUGUGCAUUCUAGCUCAUGUCAAGACCCAGCAGUUCAAUCCCAUAACAACCUUGUGGCUGGAGUAGAGCUUAUGGGCAGAUAGUAUUCAUGGGCUGCUUUUUUAUUAUUGUGUCAUUAAACUUCAGAUGAGAUGCUAUUUCUUCCU